rnacentral:lncRNA from 1 species
GUAGGUGUGGUGGAUAGUGGUGGUUCAGUCUGGAUGGACUUGGUAGGUGUGGUGGAUAGUGGUGGUUCAGUCUGGAUGGACUUGGUAGGUAUGGUGGAUAGUGGUGGUUCAGUCUGGAUGGACUUGGUAGGUGUGGUGGAUAGUGGUGGUUCAGUCUGGAUGGACUUGGUAGGUAUGGUGGAUAGUGGUGGUUCAGUCUGGAUGGGCUUGGUAGGUGUGGUGGUUCAGUCUGGAUGGGCUUGGUAGGUGUGGUGGAUAGUGGUGGUUCAGUCUGGGUGGGCUUGGUAGGCGUGGUGGAUGGUGGUGGUUCAGUCUGGGUGGGCUUGGUAGGUAUGGUGGAUAGUGGUGGUUCAGUCUGGAUGGACUUGGUAGGUGUGGUGGAUAGUGGUGGUUCAGUCUGGAUGGACUUGGUAGGUAUGGUGGAUAGUGGUGGUUCAGUCUGGAUGGACUUGGUAGGUGUGGUGGAUAGUGGUGGUUCAGUCUGGAUGGACUUGGUAGGCGUGGUGGAUAGUGGUGGUUCAGUCUGGAUGGAUUUGGGAAACACCUUUCCAUAGUCGUCUAAUUCUAUAGAAACAUCAUGGAUGAGGUCUUCAGACAUCUUCAGUUGACUCUGCAGUCCCAUGUUCUGUAAACAGUUGAAGCCAAGUACCCCAAGGAUGAGGAUGUGAAGUACAGACACAGAGAGAAUCACCACAGCGACUGUCCUGGACAUCUGAACCACACCAGUAUGGCCCUGAGGCACAUCAACAUUAAUGUCAUCAUGGUCCAGAUCAUCUCCAUGGUUGUCAGGUGUAACUUGUAAACUAUCAAU